rnacentral:rRNA from 1 species
GAUGAACGCUGGCGGCGUGCCUAAUACAUGCAAGUCGAGCGAACGGACGAGAAGCUUGCUUUUCUGAUGUUAGCGGCGGACGGGUGAGUAACACGUGGAUAACCUACCUAUAAGACUGGGAUAACUUCGGGAAACCGGAGCUAAUACCGGAUAAUAUUUUGAACCGCAGGGUUCAAAAGUGAAAGACGGUCUUGCUGUCUCUUAUAGAUGGAUCCGCGCUGCAUUAGCUAGUUGGUAAGGUAACGGCUUACCAAGGCAACGAUGCAUAGCCGACCUGAGAGGGUGAUCGGCCACACUGGAACUGAGACACGGUCCAGACUCCUACGGGAGGCAGCAGUAGGGAAUCUUCCGCAAUGGGCGAAAGCCUGACGGAGCAACGCCGCGUGAGUGAUGAAGGUCUUCGGAUCGUAAAGCUCUGUUAUUAGGGAAGAACAUAUGUGGAAGUAACUGUGCACAUCUUGACGGUACCUAAUCAGAAAGCCACGGCUAACUACGUG